UAUGGUUGUUUAUUCUUUUGAUCAGGAAGGAGAGAAAGGGAGAAUCAGUUAGAAGAAAGAAGAGUCUGAAAGCUGAGUAAUUUACCUCAACUUUAUUGCCCAUGUUAUUAAGAUCUAUUGAUGAUCAUCCCACUUACUCCUAGGAUGCACAAACUUAAUGGAUCCUGGACUGACAUAUUUAUCACGGUUUUUGGGUUGUCUUCCUUCCCAGUUUUGUUUUACCAGUGGAGACAAGGAGAUUGGAGGACAGAAGGGCGCAGCACAGGACUACAGCGAGGGGGAAGGCCAGAUCAAGCAGGAGACAACAAGAGGUGGCUGCUGCUCAAUUGGUAUUGCAUAGUAAUUGAUAAUUGUUGUGAGCUCUCUCUUUCUGCUAGCUGCAGUACAUAUCGGAGUAGUGCAAGUAGACUUUUAAACGACGGGAGAAACCUGUGUAGUAUAUCAGAAAGGAACCAUAAUGGAAGAAUUACGCAGUAAUCAGAUUCUAGGACUUUUGUGGUGCCAAUAUGAUGAUCAUGUUUCUUUUAUUUUGUGCAGGCCGACAGUGCUCAUGCUCAAAUAUACCCUCCACUCACUGGCGUUUUCAAACCUCUGAUAAAGGAGGGCAAUGUCUACAAUGUCUCCUACAUUCAGAUCAAGAAAGCUAAUAGGAUGUACAAGCCUGUUGACAACGAUAUCUUGAUCGGUUUCACAAAAUGGAUCCUAUGUUGCCUCGACAAACCCGCGGUUUGAACACGUGACAGAUGACGGCUUAGCUUCUGUGGAUGGACAUCUUGGUCGCUUUUGUAGAUGGAAUGUCUGGUUGGCUUUUGUAGACAGAAUCAGGCUGCACUUGUGCUUGUGUAACACUUAUGAGCAUGGUUGUGUGGACUGUGUCGGCCAAAGUAUGCCUCCCAGUGCCUUGUAUAUAUUACCUACUUAGCUGCCUAUCCCCAACUAGGUUGCCUGAUAAUAGACUUCGAUCAUGUCAUGCUAUUCUAUAACAAUUUCCAAUGUAACUUGCCUGAUCGUCAUACUAUGGUACACGCUUAAAUUUGGUGCUGCAACUUUAAUGUGGAUUAUGUUUAGU